UUUAAACUAGCUGUUUAGGUUGCGGCGUGCUGUUGUUGCUGUAGGCAAUCAGGCAAUCAGUGAAGGCUGCAGCAGUGUUUGAAAGAUAGGGUGUACUGACCGGCUUCGGCUUCGGCUUCGGCUUCAUUUAUGUUGGAUGGAAGGCGGUUUGGCAGUUUGGAGAAUUGAUGGCAGAAAGUGUAAUCGAAUGGUAUGAGCUGUCCAGAGAAUGGUGAAAGGCAGGUUUCCGGAAAAACUAUAAAUACACCCGAAUUGAUUCGGGAGCCGGUGUGUCGUCCAGUCGUAAAGUAGGUGGCCUUUACCUUUAAAAAAAGGAACGAAUAAUACAAUAUUUUGCUCUAUCUGAAGCAAAUGCAGCUAAAUUUUUAAGAGAUCGGACACUUUUGGUGCAUUUAAAAGCUAGACAGCAAUGUGAGAUGGCUUUUCGGUUAAAACCUACUGCAUGACAGGCAAAACAGUACUACCGGAGAAAUGUUGGUAAUGCGGACUAAUUACGAGAAUGCCUCUAGAUGUUAUCCAUUAACCAAGUUUAAAAUAAUUUUGUGAAUCAUAUACAGUAUUUGUGAACGAUAAACGUUUAAAAGGAUUUUGUGAUGAAGUGAGAGAGAGCACGUACCUACCAUCCAUCCAUCCAUCCAUCCCACUCGCGGGGCCGCAGGAGCCGAUUGCACACACGUUUAGACUGGCGUAAAGAAGUUAUCGGAUAGGCUUCAUUUGAAUCACAGGAGCUCUGCGUGUAUGUGCCAUUUCCACUGUGAUGUUUGAUGGUCAGGCGUUUGGAUAUAUAGCAGCUGUGUGGAAGGUUUAAAGAUGCGAGCUGAUGUGCUGGAGUUUAUAAAUACAAACGCGGCGAAGAUGGCUUUAGGACAAAAUGGGCUUUAAUAUACAGGAUGCCCUGUAGAAAAGAAAGCUGUAAAUGCACAACAUGGUACAAAUUUGGGCAUUAGAUGCACAGGCUGUUCAGGAAGUGCUAAAAGCUGUAGCGAUGGGGCAGAGUAACAUUGUUAAUAUCGAAAAGGUGGAGUAGGGGAUUGUACAUAUCCAGAGCUGGUGCAGUAUCUAAAAAAUGUUAGGAGUUGUAAAGAAACCGUCUUGUUGAUAGAUGGACGCCCUUGUAACGGGCACAAUAUAUCCUACAUAGUGGUGGUCUAUGAUAUAAUUGUCAUUACAAUGUAUGUAAGAGCUUGCUACAUUUUUGAAACAGUUAUUUAAAAGAAAUGGUUUCAGUGUGAAGUACAUUUCCUGCAUCUUUGCUCCACAGUCAAGCUCAGUAGGUGUAGGAUGUGCACCUUAUGCCAGCUAACAUUAAAUAAGAGAUCAAGAAGAUGCUCUGCUUUUCAGUUCGAUAAGGGCAGCUGAUGGGCUCUUGUAAGGAGAUAUUUUAUUGAAUACCACAUCAACUUGUUAUUCACCUGCCAUUAUCUUACAGAAACAAAUUCUUGAGGCUAUGGAUUUGAUUUACUUUGUCUACACCAGAGUCGGCAUACAGAAUGAAUGAGUACAGUCACAUUUUUGGAGAAGCACAAUUGAAUACGUGUUUUACAUACUCUUAAAGACAUUUUCAUUUAAAGAUUUAUUCUUACUGUUUGUAAAUUGUAAAAUGUUGAUAACCUGUGCAUAAACUACUUUUCAAAACACUUUAAAAUUUACUUUUCUUUAAUUGUGCCAUCCAAAAAAGCAGUUUUUAUUUAGAACUUGUGAAAUAGAGUUUCAAAAUGUUAAAUGAGAAACAUAUUAUCCUAAUUGCUGUGUACCUCUUGAAACAUUAAUUUGCAUUGAUUUGUGGAAUUUCUUUCCUUUUUAGUUUUUUGAGCUGAUUAGUUAUGUUGUGACAAAGUAAUGUUUAUAAAGUCCUUUAUAAUCGAGUUACAUUAUUUUUGGCUGUAGCAAUUCCUGACAUAGAAAGAAUAGCACACUUAGUAAAGAGAAAUGGCAAUCUA